AGCCGUGCGAUGAACGCAAAGCGAACUAUUCUUUCGCCUUUUACUAAAGAAUACCGUGUGUUCGCCGUCUAAAGCGGCAUACGCAUAUUUUUGGAGGGGCUUCUCAUCUGUGAAGCU